rnacentral:rRNA from 1 species
GACGAACGCUGGCGGCGUGCUUAACACAUGCAAGUCGAACGAAGAGCGAUGGAAGCUUGCUUCUAUCAAUCUUAGUGGCGAACGGGAGAGUAACGCGUAAUCAACCUGCCCUUCAGAGGGGGACAACAGUUGGAAACGACUGCUAAUACCGCAUACGAUCUAACCUCGGCAUCGAGGAAAGAUGAAAGGUGGCCUCUAUGUAUAAGCUAUCACUGAAGGAGGGGAUUGCGUCUGAUUAGCUAGUUGGAGGGGUAACGGCCCACCAAGGCGAUGAUCAGUAGCCGGUCUGAGAGGAUGAACGGCCACAUUGGGACUGAGACACGGCCCAGACUCCUACGGGAGGCAGCAGUGGGGAAUCUUCCGCAAUGGACGAAAGUCUGACGGAGCAACGCCGCGUGAGUGAUGACGGCCUUCGGGUUGUAAAGCUCUGUUAAUCGGGACGAAAGGCCUUCUUGCGAAUAGUGAGAAGGAUUGACGGUACCGGAAUAGAAAGCCACGGCUAACUACGUG